rnacentral:rRNA from 1 species
UUGCAGGCUGAAACUCGCCUGCAUGAAGUCGGAAUUGCUAGUAAUCGCAGAUCAGCAUGCUGCGGUGAAUACGUUCCCGGGCCUUGUACACACCGCCCGUCACACCAUGGAGUCGGUAACACCCGAAGCCUGUAGUCUAACCGCAAGGAGGACGCAGUCGAAGGUGGGAUUGAUGACUGGGGUGAAGUCGUAACAAGGUAAC